UACAGAGGGGGCAAGCGUUGUUCGGAAUUACUGGGCGUAAAGCGCGCGUAGGCGGCUUUGCAAGCCGGAUGUGAAAUCCCCGGGCUUAACCUGGGAACUGCAUUCGGGACUGCAUUGCUCGAGUAUGGGAGAGGGAAGUGGAAUUUCAGGUGUAGCGGUGAAAUGCGUAGAUAUCUGAAGGAACAUCAGUGGCGAAAGCGACUUCCUGGACCAAUACUGACGCUCAUGUGCGAAAGCGUGGGGAGCAAACAGG
rnacentral:rRNA from 1 species